GACGAACGCUGGCGGCGUGCUUAACACAUGCAAGUCGAGCGGUAAGGCCCUUUCGGGGGUACACGAGCGGCGAACGGGUGAGUAACACGUGGGUGACCUGCCCUCAGCUCUGGGAUAAGCCUGGGAAAACCGGGUCUAAUACCGGAUAUGACUCCAUGACGCAUGUUGUGGGGUGGAAAGCCUUGUGCGGCUGAGGAUGGGCCCGCGGCCUAUCAGCUUGUUGGUGGGGUGANGGCCUACCAAGGCGACGACGGGUAGCCGGCCUGAGAGGCGACCGGCCACACUGGGACUGAGACACGGCCCAGACUCCUACGGGAGGCAGCAGUGGGGAAUCUUGCGC
rnacentral:rRNA from 1 species